UACGUAGGGUGCGAGCGUUGCCCGGAUUUAUUGGGCGUAAAGGGCGCGUAGGCGGCCACGCACGUCCGUUGUGAAAUCGCCCGGCUCAACUGGGCGGGGUCAGCGGAUACGGUGUGGCUCGAGCAAGCUAGGGGGCAAUGGAAUUCCCGGUGUAGUGGUGGAAUGCGUAGAUAUCGGGAGGAACGCCAGUGGCGAAGGCGGUUGCCUGGAGCUUUGCUGACGCUGAUGCGCGAAAGCGUGGGGAGCGAUCCGG
rnacentral:rRNA from 1 species